ACGGGAGGCAGCAGUGGGGAAUAUUGCACAAUGGGCGAAAGCCUGAUGUAGCGACGCCGCGUGAGUGAUGAAGUAUUUCGGUAUGUAAAGCUCUAUCAGCAGGGAAGAAAAAUGACGGUACCUGACUAAGAAGCACCGGCUAAAUACGUGCCAGCAGCCGCGGUAAUACGUAUGGUGCAAGCGUUAUCCGGAUUUACUGGGUGUAAAGGGAGCGCAGGCGGUACGGCAAGUCUGAUGUGAAAGCCCGGGGCUCAACCCCGGUACUGCAUUGGAAACUGUCGAACUAGAGUGUCGGAGGGGUAAGCGGAAUUCCUAGUGUAGCGGUGAAAUGCGUAGAUAUUAGGAGGAACACCAGUGGCGAAGGCGGCUUACUGGACGAUAACUGACGCUGAGGCUCGAAAGCGUGGGGAGCAAACAGGAUUAGAUACCCUGGUA
rnacentral:rRNA from 1 species